CUUGAAACAAUAGACGCAUGCAUGUAGCACUGAGAGCUAGCCCAUUGUUUCCUGUUGCUGCUUGAUAUUGAUAUUAUUUGUGUUUUUCCGUACGGCUUCCUCAGGGGCCUGCUUGAUCCACUUCAAAUUCUUCCCCUGUUUUAUUAGAGGUUGAAAAAGGUCCAAGACCUGGUUGUACCACUGCUCCCACCGACGGCUAAGGAACCAGUUUGGCGUCUGGUUUGUCUGUUGUUUUACUGCUGACCUUCAAAUCAACUUUAACCCCUGACCCCUGGAGGCAUCUAUCAUGACAAGAGGCUGUUUAACACAAAUGGUGCCCAUUUAUAGGGGAAGAGAGUCAGAAGAUUUCCUUUUUAUGAAGAAUUUGGUUUUUCACCCCUCUUUUCUCAGUCACCACAGGUGAAAUCCCUCCUAGCAGCUGGCUUAUGAAAUAAUGUGAGGGGGGUGGCCCUAAUGAGCUGAAAGCACCCUCAGCUGGAGAUAAAUAUAUGCAAAUGAGAUGCACAAACAAAGGAGCCUGGACAGAGAAAUAUCUGCAAUUCCAGCAAAAUGCUGCCUGCAGCUAGAAGAUGAACAGCUUUGAUAAAAUGAAUUUCAACAAGUUUACAGAUCAGCAGCCAGCGUCUAUUGAGAAAGCAUGGAAAAUCAACAAUUAAAAAGGACUAAAGGAUUCCCACCUUAUGUCUUCCCAAGAUGGAUCAAGGAUACAAAGUCCAUUAAAAAGACUGUAGCAAAGAAAUCACACCGUAUCUCAUGAAUGAUAAAGUGUAAAAAGGCUUGCAAAUCACGUAUGGUGAUCCAACAUUCAUUGCCACGCUUACCUUUUUUGUUCACACUGCCACAAAAGUGACGACAAUUGCAAUGUAACUGGAAAUGAUUGUCAGUGGUAUUAUUAAACAAAAUGUACAUUUUAUUUUUUCUUUUCUUUUUAAUUUUUUUUAAUGUCAGUAGCCUACUGUGAAACAUAGCAGCCUUCUUUGUACCUGCCACCCCCACUAAAAAGACAAGCUGAAAUAAUGGGCUAAAAUACAAAAGAACUGUCUUUAAAGUGUAGCAGUUUAAUUUUUAUGUCUGCAUUAAUUGUGUUAUAUUAUAGUACUGGUCUUUAUAAUCUUACUGCUUUUUCCUGGUUUGACUAUAACAUUUCAGUGGCAGUAAUCCCAUCAUAGCAGUUGGAUAAAGCAUUACACUUUACAUAGCCACACAUACUUAACCCAACAUUCAGCAAGUUAAAUAAUCAUUAGCACAGUAACCCACUGCUAUCAAAAAUGUAUUGGUCCUCUAAAUUUAAAAUUAAUGGUCUGUCUUCCUAGCAGCAUAUGUCUGGUUUCUAACCAUUCAGCAUGAAGUCAGGGACAUUUUAUCAGUACACAUUAGACAACUUUUGUUAUUGGCAUUUAGAGACUAAAAAGUCACAGAUGGAAAUGGUUGUGGCUGAAUUUUUUUUUAUUUAUUUCUAGAACUCUGAUUUUAAAACAAUCUCUGUUCUGAGUGCUAAUUAUCAGCUGACAUUAUCAUGUACCUGCUGUCGAUAUGUAGCAGGGCUGCUAUGCCUUGAAAAGAUUUUUUUUUCUUUCAAAACCAAGUAAAUGGGAAAAUAAAGAGAAAAAGUUUUGUAAAAUAUUUGCUAAAGAAAGGUUAAUAACUUGUAUUUGUAUACUCUACUUUCAUUUAAUUUUUCAAAAAUAAGAAGUUUACCAUUUAUAUAUACGUUUCCCCUUAGAGAGUGAUUUUUUUUAUAUUGUAACUAUUUGUUUCAGAGCCCAAAUGUCCCCCCUCCUUUACAUGAAGAAGUAGGGGGGAGGUUGGUAAUAAAAAAUUUUGAAACAGAGAAUGAAGAAAUAUCUGCUUUGUUUACAACUGGAGAGAAAAAAAGAUAAAACUUGGAAUUCAACCUAAAAAUGCAAAGUAAAAUGACAUAUUACAGUGAGAAUAUUCAUGUUAUUGUACACAUAUUUUAAUAAAAGUUCUAAAAUAAA